CGCGAGCAAGGCUCACCAUGUCCCGGGAGAGCUGGCAUGUGAGACUGCAGGCGUACUUCUCGAUGUCUCUUUCUUGAUGAACACUCUACAGGUGGGAUUUCUCCACUACAGGCUGCUGCCUGUCCCUAGAAUAGGACACUGCUCAAGUUUGCUCUAUACAGUGCUCUAUUUUGGCUGUGUUGUGAUGGGAGUAGGCUAUAGAAGACUGCACAGGGCACAUAACCUACAAAGGAUACUCAAAUAAAUGGCUUGGGAAGGUAAAACAGAUGAGGAGCUCUAGACAAGCUUGACAGUGUUUUCCAGAGGAUAGGAAAAGGGCUACAACCAUGAGUCCCUGUCCAGAUGCCAGGGAGGGGAGACCCACAGGGCCAGGAAGAGCUGGCAGGCUGCCUUCCCUCCUGCCCCUUCCCAAGGCAGGGCAGGAUACACCCAGCUGCCACUCACAGAGCAAUAGCAAUGCCCAUGCACAUGCAAUACAAGGACAACAGCAGCUCCACCUUGUCUUCAGUUCUUCAGUGAAGAAAUUAAAAGAUGCUGGAUGCUGAGCAGUGGCAGUGGCUGUGCUCACCAGACUGCUUUCAAGGUCAGUUUGGCUCAGUACCAGAUGUGACCCAGGAGCUCCUGGAUAUUGUAGCACUGUGCUGUUACACCUACACCUUAAAAAAAGCAUCUGCAGACACUUGCAAAAUAGCGAGGAGGAAAGCCACAAAAAGGAAAAUGGAGUCUCACCUUCAACAGACUCCUACAGGAGGCCUUACACAGGCGAGGGAACAGUCCUGUAGCAGCCUACAGCAGGGGCAGAUGGUUCUGGGGCCAAGGGAAUCCUCCUCACUGUGUGAGGGCAUUGCCUGUGCCACACACUGCACCAGGAGAACGGGAUCGCUACAACAGCCAGACCAUGUAGUCACAAAGGAGUCUGCCCUUGGCGUCCCAAGGAGCCCUUAAGAUGCUAACUCAUAAGAUGAGAAUAUAGACAAACACACUUCACCCUGAACUUGAAACUUGGCUCAGAUGUACGCGUUUUUGUUAGGACUUGUUUUGUUUGGGUUGGUUUUGCUUUUCUCCUUUAGCAAGCAUCGUCUGUUCUGUGUGCUGGGCCGGUGCAGGAUCGCAAGCAGGGCUAUUUUAACAAAUGUUGUUUAACCAGAAGUAGAAAUGAUUGACUCCCAUCUGUAGCCAUCCUAUACCCGUCAGCAGUUCUGGAGAUUGCUUUUGGAGUGCAGUCAGCAAUGUACCACCGCCGGUGACCAACAGAAUCACCAGUCAGUUCAGAUGUCUCUGCAGGGGCCAAGGGAGCUGUCACAGACCCGUGCUUUCAGGGCAGCCCGUUGGCUCUCAGAAAUGAAAACAAAACAAAAUUGUAUUUGCCUGCCAGCAUCUUAUCUCAGAGCAGAGAUUGCUUUUCCCUCCUGGGAUCCCAGAUCUUCGUUUUUGUGUAAGAGAAAGCAAACCCCUCUAAGCAUUUCCUUCACUGCCACACUCACAAAAGAAGCCCUUGCAGAUGUUUAAAAACCCGAGCCAUAAUGGAUCUGUCUUUUCUCCUCGCCCAUCAGAGCUGCAGUGCUGUCGCUGCAGGGGCACACACCCUCACCGGGUACACGAGGUCAGGUGGGGCCGCAUCCCCAGCGCUGCUGGGACCUUGGAGCAUGGCUGUGGAGCUGCACGGAGCUUCAGCACACAGCCGGCUCACUGGGCAGGCCUCGGGAUGGGACAGGGCAGUUAUUUGGCCUCUCAGACUAAAAUCCAGAUAAGAUAUUUCUUCUGUGUAUGGAAAAAAGUCUCCACAAGUCACAGAAUCAUAGAAUGGCCUGGGUUGAAAAGGACCGCAAUGAUCAUCUAGUUUCAACCCCCCUGCCACGGGCAGGGCUAUCCUGGGGGUGUUUCCCAGGCAGAAAUCUGGCAAAUAAAGCAGGGCUAUGCUGAGAAAUCCAGGAAGGAUAGCUCAGCUCAUCUUGUGCCUACUGGAAAACUGAAUGAAAUGCUCCGCAUGCGUAUCAUGUCCUGAGGGCUGAACGCUUGUGAAACGUUGUUAAAAUUAGAAGGGAAAAGAGCAGCAUAUUUAGAGAGUUGCCACUCUGUUAUCUCAUAAAAACCUGGUAGCCCUCCUCAUUUUGUAACCAGGCCAAUAUGUUUUAAGAGAAUGGAGGAUGUGAGGUCAACAUGUGACAGUGGAGUCACAGAUUUUAAUUCCAAUAUCUGUUCUGGUGCCAAGACGUGACCUGGACAAGCCAGCACCAGAUACAGAUUACAUGAAGAUUAAUUGGACUUUCCCACCCAGUUUCAACAGAAAGGGGCAGCCAGGGUGGCAGAUGCAAACAUCAACCUACACAAUCACUAACCCACACACUCCCAGGAUUCACACUAGAGCAUUAAGGGUUUCACUUGCAAAACCCCUGCUGCAGUCGGUUCGUGUAUACAAAUGCAGACCGUGUUCACAAAUAAGCACGUACACCUGCAUGCCAGGGUAAUGCCCUUUACACUGAGGGUGCGGGUCCAUGCCUGCAUGGGGCAUGAACCAAUAAAUCAUCUUGAAAACUUCAUAAGCAUCAGUUAAACGAUAAGAUUGGUCACACUCCUUUUAUAUUAGGGUUGCAAGGAAAAGCCAUGCAACAGGCUUAGUCUCUUGAAAUGGAACGUAAUCCAGCACUGUUAUGCAGGCACCCUGGCUGGCUCUGACUAAUGCCACAACAAACCAGAAGACACGAGCUGUGGGCUCAGGCUCUCAGCCAGCACAGACCCACUUCUGCUGAAACCAUAGCAGACACAAUGACUCACGUAAGGCUGAGGAUCUGCCCCAUGUGUCUAGCAUGUGCUGAAAAAUGUGCAGCUGGCUUAGCUUCAAAGCUACCCCCAGUCUUAAACAGCAACUCAAUCAGAGACUACUUGUUGCUAGUGUAAAUGGAUUUAUUUUGAUACAGAAUUGUAAAUUCAGUGCCUGGUACUAACUGGUACCAUGUUUGUCUCCAAAGAUGUUAUCAGGUGAGAGACAAAAAACGGAAACCAAACAAAAAGUCCAAAGGCUAUUCCAUUAACAUGGCUUACUUAUUCUCCUCAAUCUUGGAAGUGCAUGUUUUGCAGUAAUUUACAGGAGUUAACUUCUGGGAGGAAGCGUAGCCUGCUGGCAGAAACCAGAUGUUUUCAUUAGCUCACCACUAGGUGAACCAAAACAGCCACCACCCUCAUUAGCAGGCAGAUUAGCACCAGGGAGAGUCAGCCUGCAACAAUAAAAUCAACACAAGCAACACAAGUUGCACUUACCCGGAGAGCAACUACACCCUGUGCAGUGGUGGGUCAGUCUGCAGCAUAAGCCCUGGGCUCUCUGCAGACGUCUGAAAUCCAUCCCACAUCAAUAUGCUUGCCACGGAUCCAUCACCUCUCAGCUCUGGGGGCAUGCAUUCCUCUCCUAGACUCAGCCUUCUCCUCCUUGUUACCUGGAUACCCACUCACAUUCAACAUUACUUGGAGGGGAGUUCCACACUGACACACUUGCCAUACAGAAACCUGCCGUUAGCCCAUUAGCUCAAAUGCUAUUUAGAUGAUAGCAGCAUAAGCAAUGAAUACAGGAAGGUCACAAGAUGCAGAGACCAUCACCUUCAUUUUGGGCAUGCUGCAGUAAGCGAAAUCUCCAUCAUAACCACAAAUCUAUUGGUCAUUUGUGUGACAUGAAGGGCAGUGGAUAAAUGAAGCGCUAAUAUAAUAUUCAUAUUGGCCUCCAAGGGGGAAGGGAGUUACAGAACUGAUUAUCUUCUCACAGCUCAGGUUUCCACAUGAUGCCUGCCACCAUCUUUUUCCCAGAGCCUCAUUUCACUGGAGCUGUUGGUCCCUCAGUGUUACGCAGCUACACACAGAGAAAGAUAACUUUGGCUCUUCCAUUACACUGAGUGUGUUCUGGAUGGAGAUACUUGAAGAGGAAAAGAGAACAACAGAAAUGCAUCUCUGUCCAUUAAGAGGAAUUAGUAUACGUACAGGCUUCUGAACUGGACCCAUAACCUUAGUACACCAAGCACACUUGGAACAACAGCCGCGUGCGGCUUGAGCGAUACACUCGAGUUAAUGAAGCCUUUAAUCUACAGCACCGCCUGCAGCAGCCAUCAGCUCUGGCUGCUUAAUGCAGCCACACUGGGACUGCAAAAAGCAGGAGAGAAGUCUGCACUUUGUAGCUCCGCUUUCACUACAACAGCAAAGGAUGAUAAUGGCAUCGCAAGAAUGCCCAAGUUCAGCCUUAAAAAACAAAAAAAUCACGGUGCAGUACUACACCUGGACCCUUAUUGCCUAAAUCAGCACAGGUCGUCGGGCCAAAGCUUUAAGGCUCCUCCCGAAAGGAGUGACUGACAUAAAUGUUGCUAAGAUCCUGCUAAGCUUACCUGAGGUGAUGCCUCCCUCCCUUAUUUCACUAAGUUCAGAGAUCUCAUCUAUAACUCAUUCAGAUUGGCUUGGUUUUUAUUACAAGUGCCGUAUUUUCACAACAGUCUGCGUGGUAUGUAAAUGUGCAUGUUUACAGGCCUUCUGUGUAAUAAAAUUCCAGUUUAUGACAUAUUUAAGUAACUGGAAAAAUUAUAACGAAAGCAACAACGCUGGGUAUAAGCAAAGAGAACAAUUAAAAUAAACCUCUCUACCAUUACAGUUAGUUCCUAGAUGGCUGCUAACACUUCAUUUCUUAAUGCAAAAUUAACACAUCCUCUACUUAAAAAGUUCAAGGCAGAAUCUAGCCUUCUCAGUUUGAGGAUCGUGGAGCCUACUUUCCAAUAGCAAACCUUUAAAAGCUUUUAGACUACGUUUAGACCUACUGCUGCUGCAAUUGUGCAGAGCACACAGAGUCCUUAGGCAGCGUGGUUUGUGUCAGGUUUCUAUAUUCAACUGGAUCAGAUAUCCACCCCAUACCCAGCCGUACCCUAUAGUUGUUACUUUCAUAUCGUACAUUCCUCUCUUUUUCUUAGCCCAGUUUUUGUAAAUGACUUUCUUGUUCCCGGACAGUGACUCCCUGCUCCUACCCAAGGGUGAUGAAGGCUGUUCCCAGCAGGGCACCUUGCAGGAGAAGGCACCAAGGCCUCGACUUGCUUGAUGCAGCCAAAGCAACACCUUCUUCUCCAGUCCAGCAGUCUCCAUCUAAAGAUGCAAAAUAAACAGAAGCUUUCCUCCAAGGUGACUUCCAACCAGAGCAAGCGCUGCUCACCAGCUGGAGCAGGACCGGCAGACACACAUUUUCACUGCCACAGCCCAACUCUGUCCAAGUCUGGACUCCAGCACCACCAGGACCCUGGAACGUUACCCCGCAGAGUACCUGGCACAAUACAUUAAAAGGUGUUUGGGCCACAGACUUCUUUAUUUGUGGGCACACUCCCCUUCGGCACAUCUGCAUUGUGCAGCACCAGAGACGCCAGCUCUGCACAAUGCUGCGGACAUGCCAAACCCCCAGGGCCAUGAUGCACACCUGGCAGCCAGCACUAACAAGCAGUCCUACACAACGUAUCUCCCAGCCUCCUCUCCGGGGUUCAUACCUCCAUGCAUGGUUUCUUCCAGCUGUCGGCUGUGCAGCAGACCUGGAAUUCAGUGUUUUAAUUAAACCAUCACGUUUCUCGCAA